rnacentral:lncRNA from 1 species
GUUUAUACCUACUCAUCCUGCAGAAUUCUUUUUUUUUAAAUAUGGACAAUUUGUAAAGCAUUAAGGAACUACAGGAAAAAAUACAUUGUGUCUGGAAUAGUAAGAAGGUGGGUCAAACUAUAUCAAUAUCCUUUAACAUUUAUGUAGUGAUCUCUUGCUUUCUCUAGUGACAUGCCUGUAACAUGGCAUUCGUUAGUUGUCCCUGGGAAUAUGAUGGUGGGAGAUAUGGUUUCAAAAAAAUUGUAUUCCCAAAGGAAAGUAUUUGAAAAGCACUGUUAACCCCAUCCAAGCAGGAAUUAUUAAGUAAACCCCAAACCCUACAUAUGCAGAAUAAGACAUUGGAAGUAAAGAUCUUAUAUAUUCCUAAAGCAGAGACUUGUCUUCAGUGUCUAAUAUACAUGCAAAACAUUGCAUACUAACUCUGGCAAAGGAAAAUUUAAUGGAAACUGACAUUCGAAAUUUUCUAAUAGUGGUAGAAAAACCAUCAAUUUUUCAUUUUUAUAGUGUAUUUUCAAUGGGGCAAGGAGAAGAGAUUAGAAAAGAUGCAAAAUUAGAAAAAUGAAGUGAUCUUUUAAUAAGCUUUAUCUUCCUUUGGACCACAAAGUGCAAAUAAACAUGAAACAGAUGGCUUGGGUUAAGAGGUCACAGAAAAACAAAUUUAAAGUCUCGAGACCCAAGUGUUCAUGGCAAAAUGCUUGCUGAGUCCUAUUAAGAACUCAAUAUCAUAUUCGAAGGUUUGAAAAUCCAAAGGAACAUCACAAGCAUACUUCAGUGACAGAUCUCUAAGGUUGCAAAACUCAGAAGAAUGCUCGGACUGAAGUGUUUGCAAGGAACUCCAGCCUCCAGGUGACUGGGAAUUUGCACACUUGGCAAAGCGCUUCUGGUGUGACUUCCUACGCCAUUGGAAUUUUCGUUUACCAUGCCAGCAUGUCAUUCAGAGGGCCAAAUGAGUAAGCUCCACACCCAGAUUUGUUACCUGCUGAAAGUGAGAUCAAGCAUUCUCCUGUUUUUUUCUUUCUGGAGAGCCAAAGGUAAAUCCAGACACAAUGCUAGAAAAUCAUUUAAAAUGUUAAUAAAAAAAUCAACCACCGAUUUGAAGAAAUGAGUGGAUUUUUCCCAUUUGACAGCUUAUCAGGAAGUUGUCGUUUAAAAUGUGUGUGUGUGUGUGUGUGUUUAAGCCUGGGAGUGUACCUCAGUGAUGAUAGCCAUGUAUAAUUCAUAAAGGAAAAUAGAUUUAAAUAAGCCUGCUCAGUAGUUCAGUGUGUGAAAAUUCAACAAGCUACUUUCUUUUCACUGUGCCUGCAGUCUUCCUGCUCUGAGAUCCCCCAUUCUACAUCGUAUUGACUUUUUGUAUUUUGGAUCAUAACAUAAUUUGUUUCCAAAUGUAUAUUUUAAAAAGGCAACUCAGAGGGACACAAGAGAAGCAUCACAAAUGAAAAGUAGGAUGGUAUUCUCAUGUAAAUCACAUUUGAUAAAUAUUUAAAUCACGUUCUUUUGCAGAAUAAAACUGUAUGAAUGCACUUUACA